CGAUGUCGGCUCAUCACAUCCUGGGGCUGAAGCCGGUCCCAAGGGUAUGGCUGUUCGCCAUUUAAAGUGGUACGCGAGCUGGGUUUAGAACGUCGUGAGACAGUUCGGUCCCUAUCUGCCGUGGACGUUUGAGAUUUGAGAGGGGCUGCUCCUAGUACGAGAGGACCGGAGUGGACGAACCUCUGGUGUUCCGGUUGUCA
rnacentral:rRNA from 1 species